rnacentral:rRNA from 1 species
UACGGAGGGUGCAAACGUUGCUCGGAAUCAUUGGGCGUAAAGCGCACGUAGGCGGUCCAGCAAGUCGGGUGUGAAAGCCCUCGGCUUAACCGAGGAAGUGCAUUCGAAACUACUGGGCUUGAGUGCCGGAGAGGAUGGCGGAAUACCCCAAGUAGAGGUGAAAUUCGUAGAUAUGGGGUGGAACACCGGUGGCGAAGGCGGCCAUCUGGGACGGUACUGACGCUGAGACGCGAAAGCGUGGGGAGCGAACAGG